UUAAUCUCUCCUGAACGCGCCACGUCAGAUUCCAGCGUGGAAAUAGGAGGCAUCUCGCGCAGACACAUCAGAUACGCACCGUAUCACUUAAGUUUUGUUCUGUCGGAACAGGCUUCACUUGGGCUUCGUCACGCUUAUCUAAUCUUCUUCGACUUGAGGCCCAUCGACACAAUCUUCGGGAAUCCUAAACAGAUGCGUUUCCUUCCUGAUCUUCGUUCGUUCUUCUUCAUACAGAUCUAGAAAUCCGUCGGUUACCGAUUCAUUCCUAUUAAUUCCUUCAUCAAUCCAUCGUACACGAUCUAUCUUCAAUGCCAUCUUUUCUCUUCGAAGGCGGUGGUGGUUUGACUAUAAAAAGGUUAGCAUCCCUACACUCUUAAUCAUCCUAUCACUCUAUUGAACAAAUCAAUCUACUUAUUUACUGAGAAAUGGCUUGCUCUCGAGAUCAUCUAUCCAUCUCGAUACGUUUUGAGAUCGAAGAGAUGGGUAAAGUGGCUGUUGGUGCGACGGUUGUCUGCGCAGCGGCGGUUUGCGCGGCGGCGGUGUAUAUAGUGAGGCGGCAGAUGGAAAGCUCGGGGGAAAUGGGAGCGUGUGAUAGAGAUCCUGAGGGUGAUGGAGGAGGAUUGCGGGAGGUGGGAAUCUGAGACAAGUGGCUGACGCAAUGACUGUUGAGAUGCACGCGGGCGUCGCUUCUGAAGGUGGAAGCAAGAUUAAAUGCUCAUCAGCUAUGUUGAUAAUCUUCCUUCUGGACGAUGGUGCCAGCUUUUCUCCAAGGUUUUGCCGUUUUUUUUUCGGGUUCAACCUUAAACCAACUCAAACGUCAGAAAUAUUAAACGUGGUGGCGACCUCAUUGGAGUAAAUAUGCUUCUUCUGGAAUCUAAGUUUUAAAUUGUCUUUGGAGGCUAAGAUUGUGGAUCCGGAUACGGGUCGUGACUUGGGGGUUGAUUGAACUGGCGAACUCUGGUUCCAGAGUCCUACCGUGAUAAAGGUUAUUCCAAGAACGAGGAAGCUACUGCUUUUACUAUUGAUUCAAAAGGAUGGCUGAAGACUGGAGUUUUGUGUUACACUGACAGUGAACGUUUUGUCUUUAUUGUUGAUAGAUUAAAGGAGCUAAUCUAAUGCAAUGCUUAUCAGGUUGCUCCAGGUGAACUAGAAGCAGUGUUGCUAGCUCAUCCAGAGAUUGCUGAUGCAUCAGUAAUGCCGUGAGGACUUAUCGAAAGUGAGCUCAUGAGCUUGGGGAUGUAGCUCUUACUUUUCUAUUAUUGUUUUUGUAGUAUCCCUGACAAUAAAGCUGGGCAAUAUCCAAUGGCAUAAA